CUCUUCUGAUAUUACACAUCGGAGUGCUAAAAAAAGCCGACCACAGCAGCAGCUGCUGACAGCGGUUAAUGAUGAGAUUCUCUGUAUGCAUGUGCCACAUGCUCAGACCGGGCCACAACUAAACAGUCACAAACAAAGCCUUGUUGAACCUACACACCACGGCAGGCCGUCCGCGUGUUUACACUGCACAGAAAUGCUUUUCAGUGCAUGCAGAGAAAAAUGAACUAAAUUAAGUCACUGACACGUUAUAUUCUGCAGCAUCAUGUCAUUCCCAAAGUCGCCUAAUGAUCAUACAUUGCAAAGUCAUCGUAAACAGAAUCCCUGCCUGAACAGACAGCACCGGAUCCGGCUGGAAUGACUUUAAAGGCGCAGUUAUCAGCAGAAGCACCACGUGUGAGGGAACAGGAAGAGGAGCUAAAUGGAAACGACCCCCUAGCCACCAGGAUUACUCUAAAACUUCUGAACCGAUGGCCAUGAAAUUUAGUGGAGGAGUUGGAGCAGAUCCGGAUAAGACGCCGGACCUAGGAAAGGAAGUGGUAAAGGAAGCAACAAAGCAUAAAUCCAGUUGGACCAGUGGUAAAGGAGGGGGAUGUGUUCUAUAAAUGCACAGCCCUGCGAGCUACAAGCUAAUAUCAGCUUCUCAAAAGUACAUCUGACAAUCUAUUUUCGGUGAUGAGUUUUGCAGAUGCUUGAUCAGAAACCCAAGUUCAUGACAAAUUCAAUCUUUCUUUUUGACCUGACGAUGGUGCUGGGGGAGGCAUGAAAGGAUGUGUACCAAAUUUCACUGCAAUCCAUCCAAUAGCUGUUGACAUAUUUCGGUCUGGACCAAAGUGGUGGGCAGACCGACCAAUCGUCAGACAAGCAGUAGUGUGAAUAAAAAUAGAGUGGGAAUGUGUCAUGGGUUAAAACCCCCAAAAAACACUGAAAAUCUGAAGAAAAUACACAGGACACAAGACUGUACGAUACAGAUGUGGAGGUUUCACUGAUGUUGUUCACAGGGUAAUAGAUUUUUGGGUGGAUUUUGGGCGAAAAAAAGAAAGAACACUUCUUUUUCAGCUUAGUAGUCCCCUCCUACAUGCACACACACUUAGCCCAGCUCUCAUGGAGAAUAUAUGGACCCCUUCUUUGUAGAAGUUGAUGUCUUAGAUCUCCAGUUAAGGGUCCGCAGCAGUGAGGGGGGGGUCAGACCCUGUCGGCCACAUUUGAAUUCAGCAGCCCACUUCUUCCCUGUGCAGUAGGAAGGGGCUGCCUCUCCUAGUGAUGCCUUAAUAUAUGAUUUUCUCUGCUCUGUUUCAUAUAUCAUAUAUAAACUGUUUCUGUAUCAGUGGGUUACCUACACACAAAUGACGCAUGUCAGAGUGUGUCUGUGAGUAUGUGGCCUUGUUGUGUCACAAAUGUAUAUGCGUGAAAUGCAAAUGUGAAAAUUAUUAUGGGCAAAUUAAAUUUAGGUCAAAUAUGGCUACUAUAACUACAACUACUAUGUCGGUGAAUAUAAUUGAUAAUAAUUUAAUACAAAUAUGAGGGAAAAAUCGUCUUGACAUUGGGCUAGCUACGAUUCUUCUGAACAUCUUCAGUCUCGAGAUCAACAUCUAUAGGAGGUUUUAGUAAUUUGGAGUAUUUGGAGUGUAAAUGUAGCUCCCAGAAAUGAGAUAAAACGCACAAUAAACAAAGUCAAAGAUAAAAUUGACUGAAAGUAUUUUUUUUCAGACUUUAUCUAGAUAUUAUAAUGAUAUUGAUAAAUAUCAAUAUGAUAAUAUAAUAUCAAUAAUUGUGAAAUAUUUCA